UGGGGAAUCUUGGACAAUGGGCGAAAGCCUGAUCCAGCCAUGCCGCGUGAGUGACGAAGGUCUUCGGAUUGUAAAGCUCUUUUGGCGGGGACGAUAAUGACGGUACCCGCAGAAUAAGCCCCGGCUAACUUCGUGCCAGCAGCCGCGGUAAUACGAAGGGGGCUAGCGUUGUUCGGAAUUACUGGGCGUAAAGCGCACGUAGGCGGAUUUGUAAGUCAGGGGUGAAAUCCCGGGGCUCAACCUCGGAACUGCCCUUGAUACUGCAAAUCUCGAGUCCGAUAGAGGUGAGUGGAAUUCCUAGUGUAGAGGUGAAAUUCGUAGAUAUUAGGAAGAACACCAGUGGCGAAGGCGGCUCACUGGAUCGGUACUGACGCUGAGGCGCGAAAGCCAGGGGAGCAAACGGGAUUAGAUACCCAAGUAGUCCCUGAGCGGGC
rnacentral:rRNA from 1 species